UACGAAGGGGGCGAGCGUUGUUCGGAAUUACUGGGCGUAAAGGGCGCGUAGGCGGCCCCUUUUGUCGCGUGUGAAAGCCCCGGGCUCAACCUGGGAGGUGCGCGCGAAACGGGGGGGCUUGAGUUCGGGAGAGGGAUGCGGAAUUCCAGGUGUAGCGGUGAAAUGCGUAGAUAUCUGGAGGAACACCGGUGGCGAAGGCGGCAUCCUGGACCGACACUGACGCUGAGGAGCGAAAGCCAGGGGAGCAAACGGG
rnacentral:rRNA from 1 species